AAGUCCAUAGAACACAUACUUUAUUAUUUGAGAAAGUGACAAAAACAAAGACCAACUGUAACGACCCAACUUUUCUAGGUAAGUCGAGGUCGUUAAUUUUUGACAAAAGACUUUGGUUGAUACAAAAUGAAAUGUAAGCCAAUUGAAAAACAACUUUAAGUCAGGCCUGAUUUUCAAAUAUUCCAAAAACUUAAAAAAAGUACUAUUUACAAAUAAAAGUUUGUAAGCUAAGUUUCAAUACAACGUCUUAAACCUAAAACAAACAAUAAGCGGAAGCAAAAUAACACAUUUCCUAUGGCAAUCACACUUCCUUCCUGCCCCUCGCCGGUUUGCCGCCUUUAUUACCUUUGCCUGAAAAUUAAACAUAAGAAGGGUGAGUAUAAAAAUACCCAGUAAGAGACCCUCUACUGGUCCCGUCAGGGGAAAAAUAAAUUGUUAACAUUCUAUUGGGACACCCUGUACAGUCGCAGUCUUGUGAUCCCGUAGGAUGCACAUUUCAGUCUAACGCCCGAGGACGUACAUUUCAGUGUAGUGUUCUGCAGAAACACAUAUCAGUCUAAUGCUCCCGAAGGUGCAGAAUAAUUGGUGAUCCCGUGGGACACCUACAAGGCACACAUCCCAAUAAAAGCUAACAAUUUUUCCCCUCAAUCCAUUCGUACCAUCUUUCAGUUACUUCAAAAUAUAAAGUUCUUUCACUCAACGUUCUAACAGUCAACUUAUCUCACUUUAGCCCAAUGUCUGUCAGUAACAUACUAAUACGUCAGUCAAUCAAACUAUAUAGUCAUAACGCCUCUCAGUUCACCAGCACACAGUCAUACUUUAGUAUAACGUACACCCAGUCUAAACGACAAUCACAAGUUCACAUCCGCAUCUCAUACAAACACAAUCUACAAUUGUCGUCCUGUCUACAUCCACACACAUAUAUAUAUAUUCCAAGACAAUCACAAUAUGCAUUCAACAUCAAGUCUACUUCAAUCCAUGUGUAUAUAUAUAUUUUCAGUCAUCCACAGUAUACAUUCAACACCGAACCUACAUCCAUACGUAUAUAUAUAUUGUCUCAACACAUUUACUCAAUCAGAGGUGACUAACAUUACAAUUCAAAAGCAUAGGUGAGUCCAGUAGAAAAUAAAAUCCCUUACCUCACUUUUAUGCAAGUUCUUCAAUCUACUAAAUCCAAUGAAUCAAAUCCUAAACAUAAUCAAUCAUAAAAUCAACAUCUUUCUAAAUAGUUUCAACCAUUCAAAUUACCCCAUAUGUAAAUUCCACAACUUACCCAAGAAGUGGAAAAUCAAGUCCACUUCAACCUUUUGGAAAAUCAAGGAUUCGCUCACUGAAUCAAGAUGUACCUUCAAGAAUUAAGCAUUUCGCCAACAAUUAAAUCCAAUGGCAGCAUUCAACAAAAACCAAGAAACCAACAAAAACCAUAACUUGUUCUUACCCAAAUAUGAGCCCAAUGGUUCACGGCGAGGCAAAAAUGACAAUCAAGAACGAAUCAAGCGGCUGUAAAUAGAGCAACACUGAAUGCGACUCAACUGGAAAAGAAAAUCGGCUUCAAAUCGUAACUCCGUCUUACAACGAGCAGAAGAACGUCGACUUGAUAGGGGACACGUAAUUUAGGAAGAGAUCGACUUGGAUCCGUGUAUGACUUCACGAGAUGUAUGCGUCGACGGCUUCACGGAGGUGAAGACAGACGCGGUCGGAGAGUCACGCGGCAGUGCAGAAAACGGAGGAGAAAGGAACGGGCGGCGGCUGGCUUGGCUUCGACGGAGACAGAGAUUGCGCAGCAGGGCUUCACGAACGGAGAGGAAAGGAAUGGGCACGGCGAUGCAGAUCUGGACGACUGCUGCAAGGUGACGCGUACGGCACUUCACGAACCGGCCGACGGUUGCAGCGACGGAUCUGGGUUAUGGCGAACUGCAAGGGUGAAGCACAAGCGACGGCGAGGACCUGGACGGCUCGGCGAUGCAGAUCUGGAUGACGAUUUGCUUUCCGAGGGAGGCACGACGGUUGUGAGCGGAGAGGCACGGUGGUUGUGAGCGGAUGGGCGCGGCGGUUUCGAUCCGAAGGAGAAAAGGAAGACGACCGGAAAGAAGAAGAAGAAACGACCGGCAGCUUGUGUGGCCGACUGGGUGAACGGAGAAGAGAGGGAUGUGCGGCUGCUAGGGUACGGGAAGGAGAAAGGGAUGGAGGACGCACGGGAGGAAGAAGGAAGGAAAAAUUUCUUUUUUCUUUUCUUUUAUUUAAAUAAUAAAAAUAAAACUAAAAUAUAAAUAAAUAUAUAUAUAAUAAAUUUCUUUUUCUUUUCUUUUAUUUAAACUAAAUAAUAAAACUAAAAUAUAAAUAUAUAUAUAUAAUUAUAUUAUCACAUUUUCAAAUCUUCUUUCCCCCUUCAACAUAUUUUCUUCAAAACAAUAAAUCUUGUACAAAUCGAAAAAAUCUCUUAAAAUAAAAUACCUUCGAGUUUGGGGCGUUACAUUCUUCCUCCUUAAGGCGAAAGUUCUAAUCCUAAAUAACUCUUGAUAACGAGUCCUCAUCUCUUCUUCUCGCUCCCAUGUCGCCUCUUCAAUUCGAUGAUUCCGCCACAAAACCUUUACUAAUGGAAUGCUUCUAUUACGAAGCAUCUUUACCUCUCUAGCGAAUCUCCACAGGUUGUUCUACAUAGCUCAAAUGCUCAUCAAUCUCCAAGGUUCAUAGUCCACGACAUGAGAUGUAUCGGCCACAUACUUCCUCAACAUCGAAACAUGGAAAACAUUAUGGACUGCAGAGAGUGAUGGUGGUAAUGCCAAGCGAUACGCCACAACACCAACCCUCUCUAAGAUCUCAAAUGGUCCAACAAAACGAGGACUUAACUUCCCUUUCUUCUCAAAACGCAUAACACCCUUCAUAGGUGCUACCUUCAAGAAUACCUUUUCUCCCACAUCAAACUUAAGGUCUUUUCGCCGUACAUCUGCAUAACUCUUUUGUCUACUCUGCGCUGUUUGCAUACGUGCUCUAAUCUUUUGAAUAGCCUCAUUAGUAGACCGAACUAAUUUAGGUCCCAUCAACCUCUGUUCACCAACCUCACUCCAACAAAUAGGGGUUCUACAACAUUUACCAUACAAAGCCUCAAAUGGUGCCAUACCGAUGGUAGCCUGGAAACUGUUGUUAUAAGCAAACUCCAUCAAAUGUAGAUGAGAGUCCCAACUACCUGGAAACUCUAGAACACAAGCUCGUAGCAUAUCCUCUAAAACUUGGUUCAAACGUUCAGUUUGACCAUCAGUUUGUGGAUGAAAGGCUGUACUGAAAUCUAAUCUCGUACCCAUAGCAGUCUGAAGUCCCUUCCAAAACUUGGAAGUAAACCGUGCAUCCCUGUCAGAAACAAUCGAUACAGGCACUCCAUGCAGUCUCACAACCUCAGUUAAAUACAACUGUGCCCACUUACUAGCAGUAUAAGUGGAUUUCCCUGGUACAAAAUGUGCGAUUUCGUAAGCCUGUCUACAACAACCAAAAUCACUGUGAAACCCUUCAGGGUCUUAGGCAGCCCUGAAAUAAAAUCCAUCGACACAUUCUCCCACUUCCACUCUGGCACACUUAAAGGUUGUAACAAACCUGCUGGUUUCUGUCUAGGUGCCUUAACCUGCUGACAUACUAGACACUUACUAACGAAUUCCGCCACUUCCCUUUUCAUAUUCCGCCACCAAUAAAAUCGUUUUAGAUCCUGAUACAUUUUCGUACUACCAGGAUGCAUGGAAAAUGAAGAAUUAUGGGCUUCAUCUAGUAAGUCAAUCUUAGCUGCACUGUUCGCUGGCACACACAAACGUCUCUCAAACAUCAAUCCACCAUCAGAGGAUAUGGAGAACUCAUCAGUCUGCUCUGUUCCAACAAGGCGACGUCUCUCCAUCAAAUAAGGAUCAUUACUCUGAGCAUCAACAAUCUUCUGCCUCAGAGUCAGUUGCACCGUUAAUUGAGCUAACUGUGAGGUGACUCUCCCCACAGAUACUACAAUCUCAGCUCUCUCCAAGUCUCGAUGUAAUGGUACCUGUCUAGUAAUGAGUGCUGCCGAAUGUGAUACUUUUCUACUAAGAGCAUCAGCCACCACAUUCGCCUUACCAGGAUGGUACAAUAUCUCACAGUCAUAAUCCUUUACCAACUCGAGCCACCUUCGCUGUCUCAUAUUCAACUCCUUCUGAGUGAAGAAGUACUUCAGGCUCUUAUGGUCAGUAAAGAUUUGUAUCUUUUCACCGUACAAAUAAUGUCUCCAUAUCUUCAAUGCAAAAACCACUGCUGCCAACUCCAAAUCAUGUGUGGGGUAGUUCUGCUCGUGACUCUUCAACUGACGAGAGGCAUAAGCAACCACCUUACCUUUCUGCAUCAAAACACAACCCAGUCCUUUCUUGGAAGCAUCACUGUAAAUCACAAAACUUCCGGAUCCAUCUGGUACUGUAAGGACCGGUGCAGUAACUAACCUUUGCUUAAGGUUCUGAAAACUAUCCUCGCAAGCUGGACUCCAAACAAACGGAGUUCCCUUCCUUGUCAACUGAGUCAAGGGAGUAGCCAAACGUGAAAAAUCCUCCACAAACCUCCGGUAGUACCCUGCUAAACCCAGAAAACUACGAACCUCACUAACUGUAGAGGGUCGAGACCAACUGGUAACCGCUUCUAUCUUUGCAGGGUCUACAGAAACUCCCUCACUGGAAACCACAUGACCAAGAAAAGCCACCUGCUUCAACCAAAAUUCGCACUUAGAGAAUUUAGCAUAAAGUUUAUUGACUCGAAGAGUCUCUAACACUUUAUGUAAGUGUUCCUCAUGUUCGGCCUCAGUCUUGGAAUAAACCAAAAUAUCAUCAAUGAAGACUAUCACAAAAGUGUCUAAGAAAUCCUUAAACACCCUGUUCAUCAAAUCCAUAAAUACUGCAGGUGCAUUAGUCAAACCAAAAGACAUUACCAUGAAUUCAUAAUGUCCGUACCUCGAACGAAAAGCAGUCUUAGGAAUAUCACGGUCUCUAAUCCUCAACUGGUGAUAACCUGACCGUAAGUCAAUCUUAGAGAACACCGUGGCUCCCUGUAACUGAUCGAACAAAUCAUCGAUUCUAGGUAAAGGAUAUCUGUUCUUGAUUGUUACUUUAUUCAACUCUCUAUAGUCAAUGCAAAGACGCAUCGACCCAUCCUUCUUCUUCACAAACAAUACUGGUGCACCCCAAGGCGACACACUAGGUCGAAUAAAGCCUUUGUCAAGCAACUCCUGUAACUGUACCUUCAGUUAUUUCAACUCGACAGGAGCCAUCCUAUAAGGGGCUCUAGAAAUGGGAGUAGUGUCUGGCUCCAACUCAAUGGCAAAAUCAAUCUCUCUAUGUGGCGGUAGUCCUGGAAGAUCUUCUGGAAACACAUUGGGUAUUCUCUUACCACAGGUUCUGAAGUUAAGGAAGUCUCAUCUUCCCUAGUAUCCACCACACUUGCCAAAAUACUCCAGGUACCCUGGUUGAGCAGUUUACUAGCUUUCAUAGCUGAGAUUACUUUAGGCAGUACUACUGUUCCUACCCCUUGAAUUUAAAGCUAGAUUCGGUAGGGGGACUGAACACAACCUCUUUACGAGAGCAAUCAAUACUAGCAUGAUUAGUAGCUAGCCAAUCCAUACCUAAAAUUACAUCAAAGUCACGCAUAUCUAAUACCAACAAGGUUACGUCCAGCACACGACCAGCUAUCUCAAUUUCACAUGCUUUAAUCUUUUCCUUAGACAACAUAAUUUCUCCAGACGGUGUAGACACUGACAAAACAUAAUCUAAGGGUUCCACCUCUAAGCAUGCAUGCGUCACAAAAAGCGAUGAAAUAAAUGAAUGAGAAGACCCCGAGUCAAACAAGGUCAAGGCAAAAUGCCCUAACACUGGUAAUGUACCUGUCACCACUGUGCAGGCCUUCUCUGCUUAUGAUCUAUUAGUGGCAAAGAUUGUACCCCGCUGUGGAGGUUUCGCUCCCUGACUGCUCUGUCCAGCCCCAGUAGAUCUCAAGGGACAUCGAUCAGCCAUGUGUCCCUCUUGCUUGCACUUAUAACAGACUCUCGUUCCCAUCAAACAACGACCCAGGUGGUGUUUCCCACACGUAUUGCAUAGUGGCUUCUCUCGAGUAGUGUCUCCUGCCCCGCCAGAACUCUGCUGGAAACUGCAAAAAGGAUCGCCUAAUCUCAAGUUCCUCUGAGGAAUUCCCACAGUUCUCUGCUCUGCUUUCCUCUUUUGACCAGACGACGAUCCCUUAUCAAAACUCCUUGCCCGAAUUUCAUCCUUCCCAAUGCUCAUAUCCACUGCCAGGCGCAGCGCUUCAGCCUGGGUAGUGGGCUUUAGUGCUCGCACAAAGCCUCUAAUCUCAUCUCUCAAUCCUUUGACGAACCUAUCAGCUCUAGCCUGCUCAUUACCAACAAGUUCAGGGGCAAAACGCGACAGCAUAUCAAACUCCUGGUCGUACUCCUCGACUGUCAUAUGUCCUUGCUUCAAUUCCAAGAAUUCCUGGCUUUUGGCGUCUCUAAGGUUAGCCGAGAAAAACUUGGUAUAGAAGCAGUCUUUAAACUGAUCCCAGGUAAUCUGUCUCACAUCUCCACCUAGCAUACGCAUCGUAGUUCUCCACCAGAUAAUACCUCUGUCCCUCAGAAGAAAAGCAGCACACUGAACUCUAUGCUCCUCUGGACAUCUCAUGUAAUUAAAUAUGGUUUCCACAGAGGACAACCACAACUCAGCUUUAGUAGGAUCCUCCAGUGACCCAUCAAACGUCUGAGGGUCAUAUUUCCUAAAGUCCCUCAAAUGUUUCGCCUCAGCAGAAAGUUGGUUCGGUAAUGUCUGCGGCUGUUGUGCAGCCAAUCCUUGCGCAGGAGGGGCUGCUGGUGCAGGUGGAGCUGCUGGUACAGGGGGAACCACAGGUGCAGGUGGAACUGCAGGUGCCUGCUGGUUCUGAGCUAUAGCCGUCAUAAGCUCCGUGAACCUCUGCUCCAUGUGAGCAGACAGUGCAGCAAACUCAACAUGAGUCACGGGUGCAGUAGGAAUUCGCUAUUCAGCUUGACCCUCAGUAGGUUGAUUACGACCUGCUCCUCUACCCCAGCCUCUACGACCUCUCUACGUACACCUCUCUUUGGCGGCAUAAUUCCUAUUAUCCACCAACAACACUCUUUAAAAAGUCUUAAUCAUAAGCAUAAGAGUCUUUAUCGUCAUGCAAUCUAGUUUAAUUUAGGCAAACUCAUGCAAAUAAACCAUACAUAUAAGCAUAAAGAUACCUGACGAGAGACGAAGGGUCGCGUUAGCCAUAGGGACAUAAAACAUAGACUUACAUCGUAAGUCAGUCUACAGAACCUAAAACUUAGGCUCUGAUACCAACUGUAACGACCCAACUUUUCUAGGUAAGUCGAGGUCGUUAAUUUUUGACAAAAGACUUUGGUUGAUACAAAAUGAAAUGUAAGCCAAUUGAAAAACAACUUUAAGUCAGGCCUGAUUUUCAAAUAUUCCAAAAACUUAAAAAAAGUAUUUUACAAAUAAAAGUUUGUAAGCUAAGUUUCAAUACAACGUCUUAAACCUAAAAAAAAACAAUAAGCGGAAGCAAAAUAACACAUUUCCUAUGGCAAUCACGCUUCCUUCCUGCCCCUCGCCGGUUUGCCGCCUUUAUUACCUUUGCUGAAAAUUAAACAUAAGAAGGGUGAGUAUAAAAAUACCCAGUAAGAGACCCUCUACUGGUCCCGUCAGGGAAAAAUAAAUUGUUAACAUUCUAUUGGGACACCCUGUACAGUCGCAGUCUUGUGAUCCCGUAGGAUGCACAUUUCAGUCUAACGCCUCGAGGGACGUACAUUUCAGUGUAGUGUUCUGCAGAAACACAUAUCAGUCUAAUGCUCCCGAAGGUGCAGAAUAAUUGGUGAUCCCGUGGGACACCUACAAAGCACACAUCCCAAUAAAAGCUAACAAUUUUUCCCCUCAAUCCAUUCGUACCAUCUUUCAGUUACUUCAAAAUAUAAAGUUCUUUCACUCAACGUUCUAACAGUCAACUUAUCUCACUUUAGCCCAAUGUCUGUCAGUAACAUACUAAUACGUCAGUCAAUCAAACUAUAUAGUCAUAACGCCUCUCAGUUCACCAGCACACAGUCAUACUUUAGUAUAACGUACACCCAGUCUAAACGACAAUCACAAGUUCACAUCCGCAUCUCAUACAAACACAAUCUACAAUUGUCGUCCUGUCUACAUCCACACACAUAUAUAUAUAUUCCAAGACAAUCACAAUAUGCAUUCAACAUCAAGUCUACUUCAAUCCAUGUGUAUAUAUAUAUUUUCAGUCAUCCACAGUAUACAUUCAACACCGAACCUACAUCCAUACGUAUAUAUAUAUUGUCUCAACACAUUUACUCAAUCAGAGGUGACUAACAUUACAAUUCAAAAGCAUAGGUGAGUCCAGUAGAAAAUAAAAUCCCUUACCUCACUUUUAUGCAAGUUCUUCAAUCUACUAAAUCCAAUGAAUCAAAUCCUAAACAUAAUCAAUCAUAAAAUCAACAUCUUUCUAAAUAGUUUCAACCAUUCAAAUUACCCCAUAUGUAAAUUCCACAACUUACCCAAGAAGUGGAAAAUCAAGUCCACUUCAACCUUUUGGAAAAUCAAGGAUUCGCUCACUGAAUCAAGAUGUACCUUCAAGAAUUAAGCAUUUCGCCAACAAUUAAAUCCAAUGGCAGCAUUCAACAAAAACCAAGAAACCAACAAAAACCAUAACUUGUUCUUACCCAAAUAUGAGCCCAAUGGUUCACGGCGAGGCAAAAAUGACAAUCAAGAACGAAUCAAGCGGCUGUAAAUAGAGCAACACUGAAUGCGACUCAACUGGAAAAGAAAAUCGGCUUCAAAUCGUAACUCCGUCUUACAACGAGCAGAAGAACGUCGACUUGAUAGGGGACACGUAAUUUAGGAAGAGAUCGACUUGGAUCCGUGUAUGACUUCACGAGAUGUAUGCGUCGACGGCUUCACGGAGGUGAAGACAGACGCGGUCGGAGAGUCGCGCGGCAGUGUAGAAAACGGAGAAGAAAGGAACGGGCGGCGGCUAGGCUUGGCUUCGACGGAGACAGAGAUUGCGCAGCAGGUCUUCACGAACGGAGAGGAAAGGAAUGGGCACGGCGACGCAGAUCUGACGACUGCUGCAAGGUGACGCGUACGGCUUGCUUCACGAACCGACCGACGAUUGCAGCGACGGAUCUGGGUUACGGCGAACUGCAAGGGUGAAGCACAUGCGGCGGCGAGGACCUAGACGGCUCGGCGAUGCAGAUCUGGACGACGAUUUGCUUUCGAGGGAGGCACGACGGUUGUGAGCGGAGAGGCACGCGGUUGUGAGCGAAUGGGCGCGGCGGUUUCGAUCCGAAGGAGAAAAGGAAGACGACCGGAAAGAAGAAGAAACGACCGGCAGCUUGUGUGGCCGACUGGGUGAACGGAGAAGAGAGGGAUGUGCGGCUGCUAGGGUACGGGAAGGAGAAAGGGAUGGAGGACGCACGGGAGGAAGAAGGAAGGAAAAUUU
rnacentral:lncRNA from 1 species